rnacentral:rRNA from 1 species
AGCAGUAGCCACGGGAAUACGUAGGUGGCAAGCGUUGUCCGGAAUUAUUGGGCGUAAAGGGCUCGCAGGCGGUUUCUUAAGUCUGAUGUGAAAGCCCCCGGCUCAACCGGGGAGGGUCAUUGGAAACUGGGAAACUUGAGUGCAGAAGAGGAGAGUGGAAUUCCACGUGUAGCGGUGAAAUGCGUAGAGAUGUGGAGGAACACCAGUGGCGAAGGCGACUCUCUGGUCUGUAACUGACGCUGAGGAGCGAAAGCGUGGGGAGCGAACAGGAUUAGAUACCCCAGUAGUCCCUGUCUCUUAUAA